CCUACGGGAGGCAGCAGUGAGGAAUAUUGGUCAAUGGACGAGAGUCUGAACCAGCCAAGUAGCGUGCAGGAUGACGGCCCUAUGGGUUGUAAACUGCUUUUAUAAGGGAAUAAAGUGAGUCUCGUGAGACUUUUUGCAUGUACCUUAUGAAUAAGGACCGGCUAAUUCCGUGCCAGCAGC
rnacentral:rRNA from 1 species